rnacentral:rRNA from 1 species
GGGUUCUGUCUCAUAUAGGAAGACCCGUAGUUCCAGUCAAGGACCCGCGUUCUUCUUUCUAAUGGGGGUCGCGUGUAGGCCCCUUGUUGAGUUAG